rnacentral:misc_RNA from 1 species
GAUGAAGAACGAAGCGAAAUGCGAUACGUAAUGUGAAUUGCAGAAUUCAGUGAAUCAUCGAAUCUUUGAACGCACAUUGCGCCUGCCAGCACUCUGGCAGGCAUGCCUGUUCGAGCGUCAUUUCAACCAUCAAGCCCUAGGCUUGCGUUGGAGCCCUGCGGCUGCCGCAGGCCCCUAAAAGCAGUGGCGGGCUCGCUAUCACACCGAGUGCAGUAGAUUACUCUUCGCUCAGGGCGUGUGGCGGGUUCCAGCCGUGAAACCCCCUACUUCUCAAGGUUGACCUCGGAUCAGGUAGGAAUACCCGCUGAACUUAAGCAUAUCAAUAAGCGGAGGA